GUUAUAAAUUCAGCAGUAGAGCUUCAUUCUUGGGAGCGGGUAGGAGCAGAAACUCUGGAGCAGGAAGACCCCUUAUUUAAAAAUAACAGGCUUUGAUAGAUAGCCAGAGAAGUCACACAGGCAAUGACUGAGCUCCUCUCUAAUUAGGAUCUACGUAAGAAUUGUUCUGAAUGUGGAGAUGCCUUUUAUACUUUUGUUUCCAGUUCUCUAAUUGCACAUUAAUAUUAAUCACUGCUCUCUGAACAUUCAAGGGGAAAUAAGGAAAUUCACUAACUAAGGAGUGCUCCACUGUGCAUUUCUCAUGAGAGAUUAAAAAGAACGAAGAAAUUCUCGGAGGCUGACAAGGAAACUCUCUGCCCAGUCAUUCACAAGCGAAGGCACUGCAGAAAAAGAAAGCACACAUCCAGGAUCCAGGAGCAAAGGCAGAUUUUUGGCUAUAUGGAAGCAUCUUUCCUGAUCACAAUUU